ensembl:lncRNA
CAUGAAAGAGUGGAAGGCUGAGAUCCUGAGACUGAGGGAGGCAGAGAGCCAGAGGGAGGCAGAGAGCCAGAGGGAGGCAGAGAGCCAGAGAGAGGCAGAGAGCCAGAGAGAGGCAGAGAGCCAGAGAGAGGCAGAGAGACAGAGAGAAGCAGAGAGACAGAGGGAAGCAGAGAGACAGAGGGAGGCAGAGAGAGAGAGGGAAGCAGAGAGACAGAGGGAGGCAGAGAGACAGAGAGAAGCAGAGAGACAGAGAGAAGCAGAGAGAGCCACAGAAGCAAUGGAGUACCAGAGAAAACUGCAGGAGAUCCACAGACUUAAACAACUGCUGGAUCUACUGAUGGUGGACCUACAACUGGCCCACGUAAGACAUGUCAUUGUUAUUAUUAAAAGGCAGUGUAUAUUUACCGAGCUGAAAAUGAAUAGUGGCAGACAGCGGUACGCUAACCUAAUGUUAACUUUUAUUCCUUUCCUUAACCCUUACCUUAACCUCACUGAAACUAUACCUAACCUUUACCUUAACC